AAGUCGUAACAAGGUCUCCGUAGGUGAACCUGCGGAGGGAUCAUUACCGAGUGAGGGCCUCCGGGCUCGACCUCCCACCCUUCUGUUGUCCGACCGCGUUGCUUCGGGGCCGCCGUCCAGUGCGGCGCCCCGGAGGACCGUCUCUGAACUCUUGCAUUACUGCGUCUGAGUCUUAAUGAAAUUCAAUGAAAACUUUCAACAACGGAUCUCUUGGUUCUGGCAUCGAUGAAGAACGCAGCGAAAUGCGAUAAGUAAUGUGAAUUGCAGAAUUCAGUGAAUCAUCGAAUCUUUGAACGCACAUUGCGCCCUCUGGUAUUCCGGGGGGCAUGCCUGUUCGAGCGUCAUUGUCACCAAUCCAGCCCGGCUGGGUGUUGGGCAGCGCGGCCUCAUCCGCCGCGGGCCCCAAUGUCGCCGGCCACGCCGUCCGUCCCCUCGCGUUGUGGCAUCUUGUCUCGCGUCGGUGGCCGGCCGGAGUGCGCCGUUCAACCCUCUUUCUCAGGUUGACCUCGGAUCAGGUAGGGAUACCCGCUGAACUUAA
rnacentral:rRNA from 1 species